CCUACAGGAGGCUGCAGUGGGGAAUAUUGGACAAUGGGGGGAACCCUGAUCCAGCCAUGCCGCGUGUGUGAAGAAGGCCCUCGGGUUGUAAAGCACUUUCAGUGAGGAAGAACGCCUGGUGGUUAAUACCCAUCAGGAAAGACAUCACUCACAGAAGAAGCACCGGCUAACUCCGUGCCAGCAGCCGCGGUAAUACGGAGGGUGCGAGCGUUAAUCGGAAUUACUGGGCGUAAAGCGCGCGUAGGUGGCUUGAUAAGCCGGUUGUGAAAGCCCCGGGCUCAACCUGGGAACGGCAUCCGGAACUGUCAAGCUAGAGUGCAGGAGAGGAAGGUAGAAUUCCCGGUGUAGCGGUGAAAUGCGUAGAGAUCGGGAGGAAUACCAGUGGCGAAGGCGGCCUUCUGGACUGACACUGACACUGAGGUGCGAAAGCGUGGGUAGCAAACAGGAUUAGAUACCCGAGUAGUC
rnacentral:rRNA from 1 species